rnacentral:rRNA from 1 species
AUCUACAACCACCCCACCUUGAACGUGCCUGAUCUCAUCUGAACUUGGAAGCUAAGCAGGGUCGGGCCUGGUUACUACUUGGAUGGGGGAAUUGUGAGGCAUUGCUUCAUUGUCUUUC